UGUCGACUCCUGCAAAAGCAGAACCACCCGUGAAC
rnacentral:rRNA from 1 species